UACAGAGCCUGCAAGCGUUAUUCGGAUUCCCUGGGCGUAAAGGGUGCGCAGGCGGCCGUGUGUGUGAGGCGUGAAAGCCUGGAGCUUAACUCCAGAAUUGCACCUCAAACUACACGGCUAGAGCAUUGGAGAGGGUAGCGGAAUUCACGGUGUAGCAGUGAAAUGCGUAGAUAUCGUGAGGAACACCAGAGGCGAAGGCGGCUACCUGGACAAUUGCUGACGCUCAGGCACGAAAGCGUGGGGAGCAAAAGGG
rnacentral:rRNA from 1 species